rnacentral:rRNA from 1 species
GAUGAACGCUAGCGGCAGGCUUAAUACAUGCAAGUCGAGGGGCAGCACGUCUUCGGAUGGUGGCGACCGGCAAACGGGUGCGGAACACGUACAUAACCAACCCCGUCCCGGAGGAUAGCCCGGUGAAAACCGGAUUAAUACUCCAUAGUAUAUUGAAACUGCAUGGUUUUAAUAUUAAAUAUAAGGGGGUGAGACGGAUGUGCGUAUGAUUAGUUAGUUGGCGGGGUAACGGCCCACCAAGACCACGAUCAUUAGCUGAUGUGAGAGCAUGAUCAGCCACAUGGGCACUGAGACACGGGCCCAACUCCUACGGGAGGCAGCAGUAAGGAAUAUUGGUCAAUGGACGGAAGUCUGAACCAGCCAUGCCGCGUGAAGGAUGAAGGUCCUCUGGAUUGUAAACUUCUUUUAUCUGGGGCGAAAACCAUCUUUUCUAAGAUAUUUGACAGUACCAGAAGAAUAAGCACCGGCUAACUCCGUGCCAGCAGCCGCCGUAAGAC